UACGUAGGGCGCAAGCGUUGUCCGGAAUUAUUGGGCGUAAAGAGCUUGUAGGCGGUUUGUCGCGUCUGCUGUGAAAACCUAAGGCUCAACCUUGGGCUUGCAGUGGGUACGGGCAGACUAGAGUGCGGUAGGGGUGACUGGAAUUCCUGGUGUAGCGGUGGAAUGCGCAGAUAUCAGGAGGAACACCGGUGGCGAAGGCGGGUCUCUGGGCAGUAACUGACGCUGAGGAGCGAAAGCGUGGGGAGCGAACAGG
rnacentral:rRNA from 1 species